AGCGAACGCUGGCGGCAGGCCUAACACAUGCAAGUCGAACGAACCUUUCGGGGUUAGUGGCGGACGGGUGAGUAACACGUGGGAACGUGCCUUUAGGUUCGGAAUAACUCAGGGAAACUUGUGCUAAUACCGAAUGUGCCCUUCGGGGGAAAGAUUUAUCGCCUUUAGAGCGGCCCGCGUCUGAUUAGCUAGUUGGUUGAGGUAAAGGCUCACCAAGGCGACGAUCAGUAGCUGGUCUGAGAGGAUGAUCAGCCACAUUGGGACUGAGACACGGCCCAAAAUCCUACGGGAGGCAGCAGUGGGGAAUCUUGCGCAAUGGGCGAAAGCCUGACGCAGCCAUGCCGCGUGAAUGAUGAAGGUCUUAGGAUUGUACAAUUCUUUCACCGGGGACGAUAAUGACGGUACCCGGAGAAGAAGCCCCGGCUAACUUCGUG
rnacentral:rRNA from 1 species